AUCGUUUCCACUGCGUCGUCACCUUCUCUGCCCACUCUAAAGGGAAUGAAAUAAAUCCUCGGAGCCGAAAGUUAAGGAUUUCCUGUAAAGGAGAAACCUUGCGGCCAACUGAGGCGAUAUCUUGGGGGAAUCUUCUUCCUCUGUGAGCUAGGGUUUCGACGUGAGGGGGCAGUUCCCUUCUACCGCCCCUUCUCUUUUGUUGAUUUGACAAAGAGGGAUCAUAUUGCUUAUUUCCCCCCUUCAAGCUGUAGAGAUGGAUUAGCUGAGGCGGCCCGUAAAUCGAUUUUUCGGCGAUUUGAGGGGGUAUAGAUCGUUUUAGCUAAAAAAAGUCGUUUUUUAGCUGGAAAAAAAUGGUUCGGAGACCUGAACUGAGGGGUCCCGAUGGAGUUUCGAUCGUUCGCGCCGAGAGAGCUGUGGAUGCAGCAUUACAGCACCUCGGAUUUGCCUUUUCUGGGAUCUGAAAGGAAAUUGGUUCGGUUUGGAUCUCCGAGCAAGCUCACAUGGAUGAUUUCACGCCCACGAAUUAUGGGGCGAGCGGGAGUCCGAGUCAAGACGAUCCAUUUUCCCUGGCGGAGCUCAUGAAUUUUGAUGGUUUUGCUGAAUCCUGCAGUCCUACGAUGGUAGACCAGAUUUCUAAUUUAAGCUUUAUAGCUGCUUAUCAAAUACCUGGUUUUUCAUCUUCAUUGGCACCACUGAGUGUUUCAGCAGAAGGUACGGAUUCCGUUCCUGGAGAUAAUAGGGUCUCAACUGGUAAUUAUUAUAACUGCAUCGAAAAGACGGCUUUGCAAAGAGCUGGUUCACAAAUGGGGCUUCCGUCGACUUCCUCCAGAACUAAUAUUACUAGUAGGAGUGCUAGUUAUUCCGCCUUUGAUGGCCUGUCUGAUGAUGCGAUCUUGACUAUUCCUAGACCUUUUGAAGGGGUGUCUCUUCCAGAAAGAAUGCUUAAGGCACUGUCCUUGCUAAAGGAAUCGUCAUGUAGUGGAAUACUUGCCCAGGUUUGGAGGCCCAUUAAACAGGGUGACCAGUAUAUUUUAAGUACCUCUGAACAGCCAUUUCUCCUUGACGAAAUUCUUGCUGGGUACCGUGAAGUUUCAAGGCAGUUUACCUUUUCUGCUAAGGAAGCACCUGGUUUGUUUACUGGGCUCCCCGGGCGUGUAUAUAUCUCCGGAAUGCCAGAGUGGACCUCGAAUGUUAUCUAUUACAGAAAGUUCGAGUAUUUGAGAGUGGACUAUGCAAUCAGUCAUGAAGUCCGUGGAUCUCUUGCGGUGCCUGUUUUUGAUCCUUAUGAAGGUUCUUGUCUUGCUGUGCUUGAGCUUGUUACAACAAGGGAGAGACCCAACUUCGACGCAGAGAUGGAAACUGUUUGCAAUGCUUUGCAGGCUGUAAACUUGAAGACCACAAAAGUGCAGGUUCAUCAUCAGAACCUCACGAAGAGUCAGAUUUCUGCAUUUUCGGAGAUACUUGAUGUUUUGAGAACUGUUUGUCAUGCACACAUGUUACCUCUGGCACUUACAUGGGUACCUGUUUGGUAUGAUGAUGGAGGUGUAAAUGACUUGAGCAAUGAUAACAUUGGGGGGAUGAAGCCAACUUCAAGAAGGCUUGCCCUUCGCAUUCAAGAAUCAGCUUGCUAUGUUAAUGAUAUGCAGAUGCAAGAUUUUCUUCAUGCAUGCGCUGAACAUCGCCUUGAGAAGGGACAAGGCAUUGCUGGAAAGGCACUUCAAUCCAAUCAUCCAUUCUUCUCCCCUGAUGUAAAAGUAUAUGAUAUACGUGAAUAUCCACUUGCACACCAUGCUCGUAAGUUCGACCUUCGUGCUGCAGUUGCAAUCAGGUUGAGGAGCACAUACACUGGAAAUGAUGAUUACAUACUAGAAUUCUUUCUACCAGUCAACUGUGGAGGCAACAUAGAACAACAGCUAUUAUUAAAUAGCCUCUCAAAUACCAUGCAGAGAAUUUGUAGGAGCUUGAGAACUGUCUCAGAUGCUGCAGCAGCUGGGGCAGAGAUCACCAGAAUAGGUAAUCAUAAAGGAGCAGAUGUAGGUGCCUUGUCGACUAAUUUUUCAAUGACGUGCUCUCAACUAUCAGAUUACGACAAUGAAACGGCUACUGAGAUGCAUCUUGGAACUCAGGAGAUUGGAUCCAAUGAACAAAAUGGAGAUGCUCAUCUUGAGCAGUUAUCAUCUAGCUCAAUAAAACAAAUGGAGAAAAAACGCAGUACAGCUGAGAAAAAUAUUAAUUUUAGUGUUCUUCAACGAUACUUUUCUGGGAGUCUCAAGGAUGCUGCAAAAAGUAUUGGUGUUUGUCCGACAACAUUGAAAAGGAUAUGUAGACAGCAUGGAAUUUCAAGAUGGCCAUCUCGCAAGAUAAAUAAGGUCAAUCGUUCAUUGCAGAAAAUCCAAAAUGUUAUAAAUUCUGUCCAAGGAGUUGAAGGGGCUCUAAAGUAUGAUCCUUCUACUGGGUGCCUUGUUGCAGCAGUCUCCUCACCGGAAAAACCAUCAUUAAUAACCUUUGAGCCAAAAGGUCAAGAUCUUAUGACUGCCCCUUCUGCUCACCAUAUUGAGACAGAACAGCCUGUUGGUAAGAUGGUGCCAGAUUUCUAUUUCCUUGGCAGACACCAAAGAGGGACCACACACCGAUCCAAAUGUGAAACAGAUGAAGUUGGUAUGCUUUCAAAUGAUUGUAGCAGACAGUUGAACUUUAUUUGUGCAGAUGGAGGGCAGUUGUCAUAUGCUACAAUGCAAGGUGCACCAAAAUGGCCAUCAUAUUCUAAAGAUGUAUCUGACAGUUCAUAUAUUUCAAAAGAAGCAGGUUGCCAAGGUGGCCAAGAUGGCUUAAGUUUGGCAAGCCUUGAGUGUCAGGUUACAUCAAGAAGCUCAAGUUUAGAAGAAUUGGAUAAAAUGAUGAUGAAAGCAGAAGCUGAUGAUGGAAUCAUGGAACACAGCCAUCGUUCUUCUUCUGGUAUGACGGACUCUUCUAGUGGAAGUGCAUCAAGUCAUCCUAGUUUCAAGAGAAGUAAGAUGUUAAUCUCACAAAAUGGCCCAUCUGUUACAGUAAAGGCUACCUACAAAGAUGACACUGUUAGAUUCAAGUUCAUGCCAUCCAUGGGUAUCCACAACUUGUUUGAGGAAAUUGGAAAGAGAUUCAAAUUGCUGGUAGGAACAUUCCAGCUCAAGUAUAGGGAUGAUGAAGAAGAGUGGGUAAUGUUGGAGAAUGACUCUGAUCUGCAGGAGUGUGUUGAUGUAUUAGAGAAUAUUGGAUUGCAGAAAAUGAAGCUUCAAGUACGAGAUAUCCCUUGUAAUGUUGGUAGCUCGGCCAGUAGUAACUGCCUUAAGCCUUGAAGCCUUGAGAGGAGUCUUGUUUCAAGGUGCUUCAACUGACUACUAUGGUUGAGGAAUUUGCAAAGAAUUUUCUCUCUGCAGGUUUUUUAUUAGACUUCUUUUUGGAGCUCAGGCAAUUUGAUCAGGAUUCAGGAACAGUAGGAACUCCCAAUGCUGGCAAAUUAUCAGAAGAGUCAAAUUCGAUAUCUGAGCCAGAAGUCUAGGGUGGAUGCAGUUCUUGAUGAUUCCCAGGUUUGGCGUGGCACCAUAAGGAUCUUAUGUUUCCAUUGAGUCUAUCCAGGUGAGGCCGGAUCAGUAGCACUGAUUUGAAAUCAAGUGGUCAAAAACUAAGAGCUUUAGUAAACAAUAGAUCGCGGGAGAUGCACAACAGUAUGAUCUUGGCAUUGUGGAAACAACCUCUGUACAAUCAGGGUGAAUUCGAUGGGCUCGCUUUUGGUCGGCUACUAAUAGUGCUUGAUUGAGCAGGAGUUUGUGCUCUUACAUGGUUAAUCAUUUUCAGAAAUGAAGAUGAAGAAAUUCAAAGCAGGUGGAUGCAACGAGUCCAUGCAAGUUGGCAUGUGAGCUGCAAUAAUGUAUGCAGCCUGGACUGCUUGGAUGUGCAGAAGAAAGGGGUAAAGCCAGGAAACACUGCUCUUUUUGACCAGUCUCAAGCUUCGCCUUCUGCAUGGGUUGCUGCCUUCCCUGCUUCCGAUCACAAAGGCAGCUUAUAAAACUAGAGAUAGCAGGUUCUCCUACAUGCAAAUGAACAGUUACAGAGGUGACGGAGAUGAUGAUACAAACAGAAGCAACAAAAAAAUGUCUAAUAUUCUUCUUUUUGUCUUAGGGAAAAAUGGUGGUAGAAGAGAGGUCUCAAAACCUCUCCAAAGUUUGGCACAUCCUUCCUAGUCCAAAUUCCUAUAUGGUAUGGUGGCCAUGCAUUAUUAUUACAGUGUGUGCAAGACCAAAUUAGGAAGUAUCCUGCAAUAUGACUCAGAAUAUCUGCAAUGAGAAUAUGAUGUCACUGGAUGUAAGAUCACAGCUUGUGAAUCAACAAAGGAUCUUGCAUUGUUGAUCUCUGUAUCCUUGUUUUAACCAGUAACAUGAAUUGUAUGUUAUACUGGCUUGUCCUUAGCUGCUACUGUGUCCAAGUGCAAGUCUACAAUUAUCUGUUCCACCUUAAAUCUUUUCCUAAUCCCAUUUCAAGCAUCCUGGAGUUCAUCAACAUCAUCAUCAAACUCAUAA